GCAGUUGAAUUAUAUAUUGAUGAAGUGUGGAGUAAGAAGGAAAUUGAAUUGAUAUUGAAGGAAGAUAAAAUAAAAAGUGCAAGGCCAGUUGAAGUUGGAAGGACUUUUAUUGGAAGUUUAACUAAGAAUUAUGUUUUCUUUUCGUAGACCAAAUUUUGAGGACAAAAUUUUAAAUAAGGUGGGUAGGAUGUAAAAUACAGUCAAACCAUAAUUAAUUAAUUAAAUAUGACCGAAUAUAGUUGAAAAAUUUAGAAAUCGAAAAUUGAUAAUUUAGACAUGAUAUUUGGACUCAGUGAAUUUUUUUGAGUCGGAAUACAUAGUUUUCUGCGUAAAAACGCGCAGUGAUAAUUUGACUGGAAGUACCGAUUGAGAUAUGUCCAGUAUUACAGUUGAGAAAAAUAAUUAUAAGUGAAUAAGGUUAAGAAAUUAGAAUUUUAUAAUUUGGGAAGAUAGAAAUAUUUAAAAUACGAUUUAAAACUCUAAUCUUAAAGGUUUUGGCCCAAAAUUAGGCCAACGGGCUAAACUGAUUGGAUCGGGCCCAAGUUGGGCCCAAGCCCAACUACAUAAGCCCUAAUUAAUGAGCUUCAACUCAUUUUCACCCUCCAAAGAGAGAGAGAGAGAGAGCCGUGGAUGUGAGAAGAGAAGAGAGGAGUGAGGGUUUCACUAUUCACCCUCCACUUCAAAUCACCAUAACUUUCUCUACGGAGUUUCAAUCGACAAGCUGUUUACGGCCACAUGUCGCUCUUCUUGCCCUUUUCGAUUCUAUUUAGGUAUUGUGAGGUGCUUUAGUAUGAGCUAUUGAUGGAUUUCAUCAACCAAUUCCAUGGGUUAAGAGUAUUAGGUGAUCUUGGUGCACAAUUGGGAGAUUGAUCUUGCUUGUGGGGUUUUGGUGAGGCUUGGAGCUAAAGUUUGGAGGAGAUUUUCAAAGAAGAGGCUCAAUUGUUUUGACUCCAAGAGGUACGAUUUAACUUUUAUUUAAGUAUCGUGUGGUGUCAUGUGAAUUCCUAGGUUAGAUGCCCUUAGGAUUAGGUUUGAAUUGUGUGCCUUGAUUGGAGUUGAUGUCUAUAGAAAUUAUGAUGUGGAAAUUAAUGAUUUGGAAUGAG